rnacentral:rRNA from 1 species
GAUGAACGCUGGCGGCGUGCCUAAUACAUGCAAGUCGAGCGAACGGACGAGAAGCUUGCUUCUCUGAUGUUAGCGGCGGACGGGUGAGUAACACGUGGAUAACCUACCUAUAAGACUGGGAUAACUUCGGGAAACCGGAGCUAAUACCGGAUAAUAUUUUGAACCGCAUGGUUCAAAAGUGAAAGACGGUCUUGCUGUCACUUAUAGAUGGAUCCGCGCUGCAUUAGCUAGUUGGUAAGGUAACGGCUUACCAAGGCAACGAUGCAUAGCCGACCUGAGAGGGUGAUCGGCCACACUGGAACUGAGACACGGUCCAGACUCCUACGGGAGGCAGCAGUAGGGAAUCUUCCGCAAUGGGCGAAAGCCUGACGGAGCAACGCCGCGUGAGUGAUGAAGGUCUUCGGAUCGUAAAACUCUGUUAUUAGGGAAGAACAUAUGUGUAAGUAACUGUGCACAUCUUGACGGUACCUAAUCAGAAAGCCACGGCUAACUACGUGCCAGCAGCCGCGGUAAUACGUAGGUGGCAAGCGUUAUCCGGAAUUAUUGGGCGUAAAGCGCGCGUAGGCGGUUUUUUAAGUCUGAUGUGAAAGCCCACGGCUCAACCGUGGAGGGUCAUUGGAAACUGGAAAACUUGAGUGCAGAAGAGGAAAGUGGAAUUCCAUGUGUAGCGGUGAAAUGCUCAGAGAUAUGGAGGAACACCAGUGGCGAAGGCGACUUUCUGGUCUGUAACUGACGCUGAUGUGCGAAAGCGUGGGGAUCAAACAGGAUUAGAUACCCUGGUAGUCCACGCCGUAAACGAUGAGUGCUAAGUGUUAGGGGGUUUCCGCCCCUUAGUGCUGCAGCUAACGCAUUAAGCACUCCGCCUGGGGAGUACGACCGCAAGGUUGAAACUCAAAGGAAUUGACGGGGACCCGCACAAGCGGUGGAGCAUGUGGUUUAAUUCGAAGCAACGCGAAGAACCUUACCAAAUCUUGACAUCCCUUGACAACUCUAGAGAUAGAGCCUUCCCCUUCGGGGGACAAAGUGACAGGUGGUGCAUGGUUGUCGUCAGCUCGUGUCGUGAGAUGUUGGGUUAAGUCCCGCAACGAGCGCAACCCUUAAGCUUAGUUGCCAUCAUUAAGUUGGGCACUCUAAGUUGACUGCCGGUGACAAACCGGAGGAAGGUGGGGAUGACGUCAAAUCAUCAUGCCCCUUAUGAUUUGGGCUACACACGUGCUACAAUGGACAAUACAAAGGGCAGCGAAACCGCGAGGUCAAGCAAAUCCCAUAAAGUUGUUCUCAGUUCGGAUUGUAGUCUGCAACUCGACUACAUGAAGCUGGAAUCGCUAGUAAUCGUAGAUCAGCAUGCUACGGUGAAUACGUUCCCGGGUCU